UACGUAGGGGCUAGCGUUAUCCGGAUUUACUGGGCGUAAAGGGUGCGUAGGCGGUCUUUCAAGUCAGGAGUGAAAGGCUACGGCUCAACCGUAGUAAGCUCUUGAAACAGUAAGACUUGAGUGCAGAAGAGGGAAGUGGAAUUCCAUGUGUAGCGGUGAAAUGCGUAGAGAUAUGGAGGAACACCAGUGGCGAAGGCGGCUUCCUGGUCUGUAACUGACACUGAGGCGCGAAAGCGUGGGGAGCAAACAGGAUUAGAUACCCUGGUAGU
rnacentral:rRNA from 1 species